GACGAACGCUGGCGGCGUGCCUAACACAUGCAAGUCGAACGGAACUGUUUUGAAAGAUUUCUUCGGAAUGAAUUUGAUUUAGUUUAGUGGCGGACGGGUGAGUAACGCGUGAGUAACCUGCCUUCAAGAGGGGAAUAACAUUCUGAAAAGAAUGCUAAUACCGCAUGACAUAUCGGAACCACAUGGUUUUGAUAUCAAAGAUUUUAUCGCUUGAAGAUGGACUCGCGUCCGAUUAGUUAGUUGGUGAGGUAACGGCUCACCAAGACCGCGAUCGGUAGCCGGACUGAGAGGUUGAACGGCCACAUUGGGACUGAGACACGGCCCAGACUCCUACGGGAGGCAGCAGUGGGGGAUAUUGCGCAAUGGGGGCAACCCUGACGCAGCAACGCCGCGUGAAGGAUGAAGGUUUUCGGAUUGUAAACUUCUUUUAUGAAGGACGAAAAAUGACGGUACUUAAUGAAUAAGCUCCGGCUAACUACGU
rnacentral:rRNA from 1 species